rnacentral:lncRNA from 1 species
AUGUGGGAUCUUAGCUCCCUGACCAAGGAUAGAACCCACAUCCCCUGCACUAGAAGGCAAAGUUCUAACCCCUGGACCACAGGGAAGCUCCCGAAGCUACCAACCUUCAACUCUUACCGGGGCCACAGUUCCCCUCUCCUGUUAAUGUUCAGUGUUUUGAGGUGGGGGAUCGGGGAUUGCAGUGGCAAAGCUAGGCUAGGUCUUGGAGGCUGGUGUAAGGCGAAGCGGGUGAAGGCAGGAGGCUGAUGGAGAGACUGGGGGGAAGAAAAGCCGAAAUGGAUUCAUGGUGCCUUGGAUGGAGGACGAGAGGAGAAUUGCAAGCUCCUUCAACUCGUUCUGUCCGGUGAGAAGUGAUCAAGCUUGGGCUGACAAGAGGCUCAGGGAGCCCUCACGUUCUUUUGCUUUUUUACCUGCCAAUCAAACUGCUACAAGACAACACCCUGAUCUGGCAUGGACAUGUAAGUAGCUUGCAACCCAACUUUGACAUUCACUGCUAGCUCCCUCCUCUCCGCCCACCCCCCCCAACUCACUCUUCCUCUCAUUCUAUUUUUUUUUUUUUUUGACCUUUAAGAGAUCUGGAAAUACACUCUGUGUGGCAGUCAUUUUACACAGAUUUAAGUCUGAAAGCGUUAACUUUUGGAAUUAAACACUAAUUUUGAUUUCUUUAACAAAUGCAGAAAUGAAAUGACAUUAUUUUAUUCUCUUCUGAGCAGUUUUAGCACUGAACAUAAUAGUUGCCUUCCCUGGUGUGUGUUUCCUUUUCUAUGAAAAUGAAGAAAUCUGUGAGCCCCCAGAGAGAAAUGCAGAAAUGAACAAUUCAGGCUUCCAUUUCAAAAAUAUUAAAUUCUAACAUUUCAUCUCUACAAAGAACCUUCUCCAUACCUAGAUUACACAGAGUAGAACGAGUGAUUUGCGUCAAAAGGUAUAUAUCAUUAAGGGGCUGCUGCUGUUUUAUCUGGCAUCUUACUAUUUUGGUGGUGGCUGAGGGGAAGGGUGUGAAAAGAGAAGGAAAAGGACAUGGCGACACCUUGUUCUUUAUGAGAGAUUGACACUGAGGAGGCUAGAAAAGCAAGAGGGCAGGAUAAGCCGGAAAUAUUACCUGAGAGAAGGAAUUACAGAGCAUGGCGAAGCUGGAAGCUAGGAGGGCUUCUGUGGGAAGUUGUGCGAAGGGGUGAUAGGGCUUGCUCUCUGGUGCCCUCUAAUGGCAAUUUAAACCAACGUUUUACUUUCUCAAGUCUACACAGAAAAGCAGCUGGGUUUUGUCGUUACCGUUGGUGGGCUCCCCCCCCCGCCCCCCCCCCCACCACUCCCCGCAGACUUAGAAACUGUAGACUACUUGUGUAAAUUAAUUGUUUUCAUCCUGAAACUUAUGUACGUGCCUUAAAA